rnacentral:rRNA from 1 species
CCCGCACAAGCGGCGGAGCAUGCGGAUUAAUUCGAUGCAACGCGAAGAACCUUACCAAGGCUUGACAUACGCCGGUAACGCCCAGAGAUGGGUGCCCCCUUUGUGGUCGGUGGACAGGUGGUGCAUGGUUGUCGUCAGCUCGUGUCGUGAGAUGUUGGGUUAAGUCCCGCAACGAGCGCAACCCUCGUCCUAUGUUGCCAGCGGGUCAUGCCGGGGACUCAUGGGAGACUGCCGGGGUCAACUCGGAGGAAGGUGGGGAUGACGUCAAAUCAUCAUGCCCCUUAUGUCUUGGGCUUCACGCAUGCUACAAUGGGUGGUACAAAGAGAUGCAAUCUCGCAAGAGCAAGCAAACCUCAAAAAGCCAUCCUCAGUUCGGAUUGGAGUCUGCAACUCGACUCCAUGAAGUCGGAAUCGCUAGUAAUCGCGGAUCAGCACGCCGCGGUGAAUACGUUCCCGGGCCUU